rnacentral:lncRNA from 1 species
AGGAGUUUGUUGCAUGCUUUCAGGAUUUCUUGUUAGUCUAUUUCUGUUAGAAUAAAUUCUUAGGUUCUAGGAAUAUCUAUUUGUAUUUGAAUUGUUCUAGGUUCUGUUACCACGUAGCUAUAACGUGGGCUAUUUUCAUGCUUAUUCAGUUAGGAUUUUUGUAUUGAAUGGCUAUUUAAGCCAGAAUUAUUAUUAAUAAAACAAGGUCAUUCAAUCCA